rnacentral:lncRNA from 1 species
UGCGUUCUGAAAGGGUGCACUCUAUCGAACUCAAUAAAGGUGUGCUUGUUUACAUUUUGUGUUUUAGCUAUGUCGUGAUUGAGUUAAGAUUGUUAAGUCAUUUAAUCGACAAACAUUGCUUUGAAAGAAGGUCAAAUAGUCAGUUGGGGAAUUUGUUAAGACUUUUUACUUUCUUUGGCACAAAACUAUGUCGAUUUGACAUACCGUCUGGUUACUAUUUAUUUGCUUUUCGUAAUGUAUACAUUGUUCCUCAUUUGAUAGUGUUUUUUUCCCAUUUUCUUUCCUUCUUGCUUGGAUAUAUUGCUUCACUGUUCAAUGAAUUUAGUCUUGUUUUUUUAAAUUUUGUACAUAUUGUCAAAUGAUUUUGUUACUUUGUUUUGCAUUCAGUUUUUUGCAUAUGACCGUCAAAACUAUUCCCGAUACAUGUCAGUCUAUUUGCUUCAUAUGCAAAAUAUCCAUCCUGAUGCGCAUGAAUAUCUUUCAUCUGGUUGUUUUUGUGUUCAGAGAAGCUCUCAUGGAUUUUCUAGAUCUCCAGUUGACCAAACAAUAGAGCAAACA